GAUGAACGCUGGCGGCAUGCCUAAUACAUGCAAGUCGAGCGAACGUACCAGAAGCUUUCUUCUCUGAUGUUAGCGGCGGAAGGGUGAGUAACACGUGGAUCACCUACCUAUAAAAAUGGCAUAACUUCGGGAAACAGGAGCUAUUACCGGAAUAUAUCUUGAACCGCAUGGUUAAAAAGUGAAAGACGUUCUUGCUGUCACUAAUCGAUGGAUCUGCGCGUCAUUAGCUAGUUGGUAAGGUAACGGCUUACCAAGGCGACGAUGGAUAGCCGACCUGAGAGGGUGAUCGGCCACACUGGAACUGAGACACGGUCCAGACUCCUACGGGAGGCAGCAGUAGGGAAUCUUCCGCAAUGGGCGAAAGCCUGACGGAGCAACGCCGCGUGAGUGAGGAAGGUCUUCUGAUCGUAAACCUCUUUUAUUAGGGAAGAACAGAUGUGUAAGUAACUGUGCACAUCUUGACGGUACCUAAUCAGAAAGCCACGGCUAACUACGUG
rnacentral:rRNA from 1 species